CUUCCUGAACUCUUUUAUCUGUACAUCUUGUUUCUCAUAUUCUGCUUCCUUAAUACUUUUAGAAACCAGGGCCUUCUUGAUGCAUGGACAUCUUUAAUGAUCAUUUGUGUCCCCUUUAAUGCAGCUGUUUACAUGUAGGCUAAACAUUUUUCUUAGUUCUCAUAGCUCAGUUGGAAAUGAUAAUGACUCGGUGGCGUUGAAACUGAUGUAAAGUGUUAGGUAGGUUUGGCAAUACAAAUCUCUCGGUGCAUGUGAAACCUAUCAAGUAAUGAACUUUUGAGACCAUCACCUUCUUGUGUACUGAAUUGGUAGUAAUGGUAUUUCAAUACAUCAACUUCACAUGCAAGAAAUAGUAGUGGACCCACAUGGAGGUGUCCCAAGACCACUUGACACUUGUUCUGUUCCGUAAGAAUGGCCUUCAAGUUAAUGUUUUUCAUUUUCAUUUUCAUUGUCAUGAUAAAUAAUAGUUCAUCAUAUAAUGCUGUGAGACGACAUUGUCCAAAGAUAUGAAUCUUCAGUUUUUGAAGUUUGUCUAAAUUAGCUUAAACAUGACUUUGUGACUGCUCGAAGCAAUCAUUCUAUAGCACCUGUCCAAUCUGUCAAGCGUACUUGGGAAUUUUUUUCUUGAUGGAUGUUGAAAGAAAAAGUGAAAAUUCAAGUAUUGUUGUUUAUUGUCAAGAAAGAUUGGACACCUUCUAUAGUUUGAGUGCUAAUUUUUCAUUACUUCAUAUGUUCAAGAUUGAAUUAUUGUCUAAAGACAAAACUGUGCAAACUAAAACAACAAAAGUGAUAAACAAGAUGUCAACUAUAAAGUCAUUUUCAAACAGUAAAACAAAAGAAAUCAUUUUGAUGUACUUUCGAUCAAGGUCACAAAUGAAGCUCAAGCGGAAAAUGUCCUAUUUGGAGAUGUUGGUGCAAUCCCAGGUGAAGGAAAAGAUCUAAAAUUGGUGGACGCCCCUGUUUCUGGUCAUGUUAAAAGAGCUGCUGAGGGAAGUCGAUGACUUCUCAUAUGGAUGUGGACAGGCUUUAAAGAGUUACGGACUUAUUAAUGUGCAAGAAGAAGAAUCUUAUGGUGAUAUAUCGUUGAAGUUGACUCCUACAUUUUCAGAGGCGCAAAUUUGGUUUCACUUAUAAAUGAGGUCUUGGACCAAGUGAAGAUUGAAUCUGGUAAGAUUGAGAUUGAGGAUGUGCAGUUUGAUCUAAGGGCCAUAUUGGAUGAUGUCGUCUCUCUUCUCGGGGAAAUCUCAAGAAAAAGGAGUGGAGAAGUUGAUUGGUGAUCCGGGGAGAUUUCGGCAGAUCAUCACAAAUCUUAUGGGGAACUCAGUUACAGUAAGCUAUUUAAGAGUGGUUCACACAUUUUCUGAGAACUUUGUUUUUGAAUCUCAAGCCGCCAUUAUAAUUCUUGAUCUUCCUUCAAUAAUCAGGAAAAUUGUACUUAUUAUCAUCUUGAUAUAUAAAAAUAUUGCCAAUGACUUGAUCAUUCAGGAGGUCACAUGGAUUGGCUCCUACGUUACAAUAUUUACAAUCUAUCCCGCAUCCAUGUCAUCUAAAUAGCUAAUGUAUCUAUUAUGGUUUUCCCUACCUGAUGUUCGUGUCGAUUGUCAUUAAGGUUUUCCCUACCUGAUGUUCAUGUGCUAUGAAGCGUGCAAGAGGAUUAUGGUUGAGGACGAUAAAGAGGCGUAACCACAUAUUUGACAAGAAGAAAUACAAGGUCUUUUGCUAUGGAUCAUCGACAGAAAGAGUGGAUAAAGAUGACUAUUUUGUAUACUAUGAUUUUUUUUUUUUUGGUCAGAUGUAUACUGCGAUUGAAUGGUUUAGUUUAUGUUUUUUUCUUUUGCUCAUACGAUUUCUUAGAAGAAUUCUUCAAGGAAGUUCUUGUUACCAAGGUUGGUUCUACAUGCACUCGCAAAGAUA